AACGAACGCUGGCGGCAUGCCUAACACAUGCAAGUCGAACGAGACCUUCGGGUCUAGUGGCGCACGGGUGCGUAACGCGUGGGAACCUGCCCUUAGGUUCGGCAUAACUCCCCGAAAGGGGUGCUAAUACCGGAUAAUGUCUUCGGACCAAAGAUUUAUCGCCUUUGGAUGGGCCAGCGUUGGAUUAGCUAGUUGGUAGGGUAAAAGCCUACCAAGGCGACGAUCCAUAGCUGGUCUGAGAGGAUGAGCAGCCACACUGGGACUGAGACACGGCCCAGACUCCUACGGGAGGCAGCAGUGGGGAAUAUUGGACAAUGGGCGAAAGCCUGAUCCAGCAAUGCCGCGUGAGUGAUGAAGGCCUUAGGGUUGUAAAGCUCUUUUACCCGGGAUGAUAAUGACAGUACCGGGAGAAUAAGCUCCGGCUAACUCCGUG
rnacentral:rRNA from 1 species